rnacentral:lncRNA from 1 species
UGUGGGUGCUCAGGUGGGCUUUCAGGCCACUCUUCUGUGAGAAGCUCCGAGUGCAUGAAGGGCAGUCAAAUGGCUUCUCGCCUGUGUGGGUGCGCAGGUGGGCUUUCAGGUGGCCCUUUUCUGAGAAGCUCCGAGAGCAUGAAGGGCACUCAAAUGGCUUCUCGCCUGUGUGGGUGCGCAGGUGGGCUUUCAGGUGGGGCUUUCGUGAGAAGCUCCGAGAGCAUGAAGGGCAGUCAAAUGGCUUCUCGCCUGUGUGAGUCCGCAGGUGGACAUCCAGAUAACACUUGUAUGAGAAGCUCCGAGAGCAUGAAGGGCAAUGAAAUGGCUUCUCGCCAGUAUGGAUGGUGGCAUGUGCUUCCAGAAGAAAUAGUUCAUCUGCCACA